UACGUAGGGUGCAAGCGUUAAUCGGAAUUACUGGGCGUAAAGCGUGCGCAGGCGGUUGUGCAAGACCGAUGUGAAAUCCCCGGGCUUAACCUGGGAAUGGCAUUGGUGACUGCACGGCUAGAGUGUGUCAGAGGGGGGUAGAAUUCCACGUGUAGCAGUGAAAUGCGUAGAGAUGUGGAGGAAUACCGAUGGCGAAGGCAGCCCCCUGGGAUAACACUGACGGCUCA
rnacentral:rRNA from 1 species